rnacentral:rRNA from 1 species
AUGCUCGAUGUCGUCGUUGACAGAGAUAUCCAUGGCUUAAAGCUCACUGUGUCUCUCGCAUCCGAGCACCUGACGAUCCUAAAUCUUUACUGUGUUGACUUAGAGCUAUGCUCUGCUCUUGUCGACUCCCAACUGCACCUUGAUUUCGCAAGCUGUCCGUUGUUGGUGGAUCUAGACAUGGUUUGUUGCAAUGUUCAAGUGCACAGGAUCUUCUCCGAAUCGCUAAAGCGGCUGCGCGCCACCGAUUGUACCUUUGCUGGUUGUGGUGCUUCCCGCACUAGGAUCUACGCACCAAGUCUUGUUUCACUGUACCUUAGUGAUUUCACUUUGGCUGCUCCUGUGCUUGAAAGCAUUCCUUAG